rnacentral:rRNA from 1 species
CCUACGGGCGGCAGCAGUGGGGAAUAUUGGGCAAUGGACGCAAGCCUGACCCAGCAACGCCGCGUGAAGGAAGAAGGCUUUCGGGUUGUAAACUUCUUUUGAGAGGGACGAACAGAAGACGUUACCUCUUGAAUAAGCCACGGCUACCUCCGUGCCAGCAGCCGCGGUACUACGUAGGUGGCAAGCGUUGUCCGGAUUUACUGGGUGUAAAGGGCGUGCAGCCGGGAAAACAAGUCAGAUGUGAAAUCCCGCGGCUCAACCGCGGAACUGCAGUUGAAACUGUUUUUCUUGAGUACCGGAGAGGUGAUUGGAAUUCCUGGUGUAGCGGUGAAAUGCGUAGAUAUAAGGAAGAACACCAGGGGCGAAGGCGGAUGACUGGACGGCAACUGACGGUGAGGCGCGAAAGCGUGGGGAGCAAACAGGAUUAGAUACCCGAGUAGUC